ensembl:lncRNA
AUGUACUCAUCCUGUCAUUUUACCAGUCUUUACUUCAGAGAAGCUGAGUUGUUGUAUUUCCCUGAGGCAGCAAAUUCAUUUGCAAACACAAAGGCUCAGGGAAAUUUGCGCCCUAUUACACAGUCUCCAAAUAUUCCAGACUUGCUAAGACUCCAGUCGAAAAGGGUCAAGGCAGUUCAUCAGAUUCCCUUCCUAAUUCUCAACUUCCAAAGCAAGUUCUUCCCAGAGCACAGACAAAGGAAGACUAUCUGGCUGCCUAGUCUACAGCCCUGAGGACAAAAGCAUCAUCAGUGACAAGGAGACGUCCUGCUGGGGAGUAAGAUUUUACCGAGACCCAGUUGAGGAGACAUAUGUGGGGAACUUGGAUCGUCUGAGACAAGCUGUCAAUGCCAGGCAAGCAGCGAUAUGCGGUAAGCAGGCUAAAGGAAGAGAGAGUGAGCCUUGGCUUACACUCUUUGCAGAUGUCUCUGAGGCAAAUGCUUCCACCAUGGCUAAUUUCAAGCUACCGAUGAUGAAAUGCCUGAAUAUUUAACAGUUGGCCUUCAGGGGUGGUACGAGCCAGCUCAAGCACAUCCUACCCAGUCAUUUUGGAAAGAUGAGGUCACUUCCUGUCAAUUUGUUACCAUAUGAGUGAUGAUGUGCCUUUCCAAAGUAGGUACGUGGUCAUCCCUAUGAAGUGCAGUAUGCUCUGUACCCUAACUCCACCCCUAUAAUAGCAGUGCUCACUGAAGACUAAACAGAAUUAAUAUGGGGAGUCACCACAAAUCAGUGCCUGUCAAAACUGGUGAAAGUGGAAUCGAGUGUGUAGUUUUUAUCGUACCAAAGUCAGUUUCCUGGCUUUGCUAUUAUACUAUAGUCAUGAGUUGUUGCCAUAGGGAGAAGUUAUAUGGGGUUCCUAUUUUCCCAACUUUGUGUUUAUAAUUAUUUUAAACUAUUUAUAUUUAUUUAUUGGCUAUGCUAGAUUUUACUUGCAGCACGUGGAAUUUUCAAUCUUCAUUGCAGCAUGCUGCAUCUUUAGCUGGGGUUACAAACUCUUAGUUGUAGCAUGUGGGAUCUAGUUCUGUGACCAGGAAUCACACCCAAGCCCCCUGCAUUGGAAGCAUGGAAUCUUAGUCACUGGGCCACCAGGGAAGUCUCUAUAAUUAUUUUAAAAUAAAAAGUUUGAGGGGAAUCCUCAAAAAUAUGGGAAAAUAUAUAGAUGAGAGUAAAAUUUCCCCCAAAAUUAUACCACACAGAAUUAUCAUCUCAUUAGGUGACCAUCAUCUUAGACAUUUUUCUUUGUAAAUAUUCAGGUGGAAGGAGAAGGGUCGAGGCUAUUUUUAGGAAAAUAGAGUCCUUUGUGUGUGUCAGUCACUCAGUCAUGUCC